AUCCUGUGGUGAGGGCAAGCUUCCAAUAACUUCUUGAAUCUUUCCCAGUAUUCAUACAAGGUCUCCCCAUCUUGUUGUACAAUACAAGAGAUCUCUCUUGUCUAUUUU